rnacentral:rRNA from 1 species
GGAGACUGCCGGUGAUAAACCGGAGGAAGGUGGGGACGACGUCAAGUCAUCAUGGCCCUUACGAGUAGGGCUACACACGUGCUACAAUGGCGCAUACAGAGGGCGGCCAACUUGCGAGAGUGAGCGAAUCCCAAAAAGUGCGUCGUAGUCCGGAUCGGAGUCUGCAACUCGACUCCGUGAAGUCGGAAUCGCUAGUAAUCGUGGAUCAGAAUGCCACGGUGAAUACGUUCCCGGGCCUUGUACACACCGCCCGUCACACCAUGGGAGUGGGCUGCAAAAGAAGUAGGUAGUUUAACCUUCGGGAGGACGCUUACCACUUUGUGGUUCAUGACUGGGGUGAAGUCGUAACAAGGUAGCGCUAGGGGAACCUGGCGCUGGAUCACCUCCUUAUACGAUGAU